UUUCCGUAGGUGAACCUGCGGAAGGAUCAUUCACCAUAAGUGUUUUAUGGCACUUUUGAGACAAUCCAUAUCCACUUUGUGUGCAACGCUAUGAGGCCCUCUCUCGUUAUCCUUUAGGUUACGGAAGAGGGAACCUCUACAACUUACCAACAGCGCCUUUAACUUCUUUGUCUCAACAUUUGUCAUCACGAAUUACCUUAAUUCGAAAAUACAACUUUCAACAACGGAUCUCUUGGCUCUG
rnacentral:misc_RNA from 1 species